rnacentral:rRNA from 1 species
AAGGGAAACGAUUGAAGUCAGUCGUACCUGCGGGUAAUCAGCCUUUUGGGCAUGAUUCUGUGGAGCGUGAGGAGUUAAACGCCUUCAUGCCUGCAUAUUCGUGUACUUUGGGUGUACUUGCCUGUGUGGUUAGUUAACAUCAAUUUUGGUUAUCAUAGAAUGGCUGGAGGAAUGUAGCUUCGAUUUCGAUUGAAGCGUUAUAGACUUCGGCAGAUGUGAUGAUCGGGAUUGAGGAUUGCAACGGAUACCCUUCGGGGCUACCUGUCUGAUCUCUGAUCGUUGCUCUGGUGCCGAAAGCGUGCUUACGGUUAUCAAAGUCGAUGGUCAAUAGGUUAGAAUGGGUUAAAUUCGUUAAGGAUGUUGACGUA